UCUUCCGUAGUAUGGUGGUCAGUAUAUGAGCUUGUCACCUUCCUCACCUCUUCUGAGAUGAGGAAAAACAUCGCUCGGGACCCGGGUUCAAUUCCCGGCGGGAGAG